UGAGGAAUAUUGGUCAAUGGGCGAGAGCCUGAACCAGCCAAGUAGCGUGCAGGAUGACGGCCCUAUGGGUUGUAAACUGCUUUUGUAUGGGGAUAAAGUCAAUCACGUGUGAUUGUUUGCAGGUACCAUACGAAUAAGGACCGGCUAAUUCCGUGCCAGCAGCCGCGGUAAUACGGAAGGUCCGGGCGUUAUCCGGAUUUAUUGGGUUUAAAGGGAGCGUAGGCUGGAGAUUAAGUGUGUUGUGAAAUGUAGACGCUCAACGUCUGACUUGCAGCGCAUACUGGUUUCCUUGAGUACGCACAACGUUGGCGGAAUUCGUCGUGUAGCGGUGAAAUGCUUAGAUAUGACGAAGAACUCCGAUUGCGAAGGCAGCUGACGGGAGCGCAACUGACGCUGAAGCUCGAAGGUGCGGGUAUCAAACAGGAUUAGAUACCCUGGUAGUCCGCACAGUAAACGAUGGAUGCCCGUUGUUAGUUCACUUAAGAAUUAGCGACCAAGCGAAAGCAUUAAGCAUCCCACCUGGGGAGUACGCCGGCAACGGUG
rnacentral:rRNA from 1 species